GAACUUUUUUCUUAAGAAAAGGAAAACUUGACCCAACAUUCGUGGUGGCAAACAAACUGAAGCCGUCUUUCUUUUUCUAUUUCCAGAGGCAUAAGGCCCCUUCACAUUAUGGCGACCCGAAAAGACGACGCUGACCUCGCACAAACCUAUUAACGCACCGCAGGGGGAGCCAGUAGGAAAACUGUCUGAAGCCUGCAGCAUCCAGCCAGAACCACAAAAUAUGGAACCAGCAUCUCUACACUUAGGAGACAUGUGUCUUCAUCUGCAUAAAGAUGUUUUAUGUCCAGAGGAGUAAUGAGAGCUGUGGUGUCCAGGCCCGGCGCAUCAAGCCAGCAUUCAAAGUUUGAUGAAUGGCUGAGCUUUCAACAUGCUCAUCAAACGGAUCAACCGUAGUGACUCGCAUCAUGAGGGGACAUGAGUCACCGCUGAACUUCUCCCACACGAUCUCUGACUGACGGCUUCUCAUGCACACGUCUCUGGAGGUAUUUAAGUGGAAAAUGACAGAUGUGAAUAUGACAUUGGUUGAUGAAUCAUUCUGAAGGAGGCAGAAAAAAGGAAGUGCUGUGUUCUGAUUCUCAGCAGAUCUGGCAACUCAUCGGUGGGACUCUCAGUUAUGAAAGUUUGACACUUUAAAAGGGAGGAGCUCUUAAUUAGUUAGCGUUCCCACAAUGACAAGUAAGGGCUUGUGUUAUAAAAAAACAAAAAAAAGUUGCUUUUAUUUUUGUAAAAUCAUGUCCUAAAGUUGCCCCGGAUAAAAAAAUUAAGGAGAAUCCUCAAAAUCCUCAAAAAACAUUUUUCAACUAACCUCCAACUCAUGUAACUGCUUAUUCUGAUAAAGAUUUACCAAUAUAAACAGAAGUACUUUUAUUUUGUAAAUUUAUAAAUAAUAAUGUAUUAGUUUUAUAUACAUUUAGCCUAAUUUCCAAGACGUUUUAACAAAAACUGAGCACUAAAGCUUAUAGAAAAGCAGCAAAA